rnacentral:lncRNA from 1 species
CGCGCACCUCGCGGCCGCCCCGGGACGCUGGCUCGGUCCGGGCGUCCUGAGGCUCCAGGGAGAGUCGGAGGAGCCGCGGCCGACGAGUCCUCUUACUGUUCUUUCCUCGUUCUUGUUUGUUUGUUUGUUUGUUUUGGGGGGUACAAAGAAAGUUAUUUUAUUAUUAUUUUUUAAUUUAGUUUGCCAACGUCUCCCAUCAAGUGGCACGCUCACAUGCCCUCAUCACACCUGAACACAAGGGCUUCGUGGCCUCAGUGCCCCACACAAGGCCGAGGGGUGGGCGUGGGGGUGGGCGUGGGCCGGGGACCCCAGGGCCACCCGCUGCAAAGCCAGGCGUGGGGCCGUCCCCCAGGCUGGGGGACGAUGCUGCACCUGAGAGACCUGACAGCCGGUCCCAGCCACUCCACAGGAAGGAUCUGCCUAAGCCUGGAGAGAGAUGAUCCUCCCAGCGCUGACAGUCCCCGGAUGCCACCUCCCUGCUGGCGACUGUCAAGUGCUUGUGGCCUUCCUGGCAAUUCCACAGAUGGCGGAUUGGAACCACUCUGGAUCCUGCUAACAUCUUGGCAUCUCUUCCUGCGCAGAUUUUAAAUGGUCAAACUUUUUUUUUUUUUGGUUCCUUCCAGAUUUCGCUCUCAUCUCAAGCAAAAGCAAGGUACAUUUUGUGAAAAUGUUAGGACACUAUCUAGCAUACAGACAGAGUUAUUUUGACUGUGAGAGCUGGAGCUUCCUUAAAGAAGCUUCUUGUUCCUUGUCAGAGGGCCUGAGCUUUCUCUUGUCCCUUUGGGGGAACAUUGGACAGUACGAUUGUGCUAACAUGAAUGAAAGUACCUGAACUGCAUCUCAUUCAGUCUUCACAGAGAGACUAUAAGGUGUCACCUCUAUUUUGUGAAAUACAAAAUUAAGAACUUAAGUCACGUUGAAGGUAAAUUAUUUUGUCUAGAGGGACAGAACUGAGUUUGAGCCUGGAACUCUAGGACUUCAAGCACUUGUGCUCCUGUCACCUACGUUGUGCUGUUACCUGGUGGCUGUUAAACCACAGGGCUAAUUUCUGUCUCCUCUGCCCCACUAGCAACCUAGAUGUCAAAAGAAGAGGAGUCUCAGGAUUAGUCUAGAUUGUUAGGUUGAAUCAGUGCCUUUUGCAAAGUUUUCCUCUGUGAACUAGAAUUUAAAUUUGUACAGAUACACUUAUAUAUCUCUGAAAAUUUUUUUCCUUCUCAAACUAAUCUAAGACCAAAAGGAAUCACAGUUACUAAUAAACAUCAAGAGA